AUGAUGACGAUGAUGGUGAUGAUGCAUCCUCCUGCCUGCUCAUCCCCCCAUCUGUAAGAAUGAAUGUACAAGCAGGGAUG
rnacentral:miRNA from 1 species